rnacentral:rRNA from 1 species
CCUACGGGGGGCUGCAGUGGGGAAUAUUGCACAAUGGGCGCAAGCCUGAUGCAGCCAUGCCGCGUGUGUGAAGAAGGCCUUCGGGUUGUAAAGCACUUUCAGCGGGGAGGAAGGCGGUGAGGUUAAUAACCUCAUCGAUUGUCGUUACCCGCAGAAGAAGCACCGGCUAACUCCGUGCCAGCAGCCGCGGUAAUACGGAGGGUGCAAGCGUUAAUCGGAAUUACUGGGCAUAAAGCGCACGCAGGCGGUCUGUCAAGUCGGAUGUGAAAUCCCCGGGCUCAACCUGGGAACUGCAUUCGAAACUGGCAGGCUAGAGUCUUGUAGAGGGGGGUAGAAUUCCAGGUGUAGCGGUGAAAUGCGUAGAGAUCUGGAGGAAUACCGGUGGCGAAGGCGGCCCCCUGGACAAAGACUGACGCUCAGGUGCGAAAGCGUGGGGAGCAAACAGGAUUAGAUACCCGAGUAGUC